UCCUGAAGAAGCAAGGGAACUCAGG
rnacentral:piRNA from 1 species